GCGCGUGUAGCUCAGGUGGUUAGAGCACUCCACUGAUAAUGGAGAGGUCCCAAGUUCGAGUCUUGGCACGCGCACCA
rnacentral:tRNA from 1 species